ensembl:lncRNA
UGUGAAUUUAAGGCUUUUGUUGCCUAGAAAGCAGCUGUUCAAAAGCAUUUACCCUGGAUACACCUGUGAUCCACUCAAUCCCUGUUUCUCAGAGCCGGGAUUGUUGUCUUAGACGUCACUGUGAGGAUUGGUGGGGACCGUCUGCUGUCCAGGUUUUACAGAGGGCAGGAUUCUGGCAGAAGCUCGGUGCCUGGGCAGGAACACUGUGCUCACAUGUGUGCUUGGAGCAUGUUGAAUGCAUGUGCUUUCAGUAGACGAUGUGUCGGUAUCAGCAAGGCCAAAUGUCUCACAAAUGUUUCCCGUCACCAGACAAACCGUGGCCUGCGCCUGAGGACACACGUGGGUCUGCAGCUGCUGCGCUGUCCGCGUGCGGCGGUGUGCGAUGACCUUUCCUUCCCCGGGAGCCCUCCGUGACCCCUCCACCCCACGAAGCUCCUUCGCCCCUCACCUCCAAUCGCUGCAUGUCCACCCAGGCGAGGCUGCCUGGAGCGACACUUGCCACCUGCAUCCUCCCUGUGAAAGCUCUGUCUCCCAGGCACCGAGGCCCAGGCCUGCUCCCUCCUGCCCGCGAGGCUGUAUCUGGAGGAAAAGGCCGAACGCUGUCAUCUCGGUCUCUGUCUCCGUAUUCCCCCGCACGUAUGGCCACGACCCUUUCUGGCUGCAGACGCUCCCCACUGCUGUCUAAGCCCUGCUUAUGCCCUAAAUGAGAAGCGGACCUCUCAGAGCCCAGCACUCCACUCCUCGUGCUCCUCCCAGCGGCCCCGAGGCAGGGGCGGAUUCCAGUCACAACCAAACCUCAGCGUCUGCUUCCAGUGGCUGCGACUUCACACAACGUUUUGCCGCUCCAUUCUGUGCGAAGGAAACCCCAUUUCCACAAUCCCCUACUCAGAAUUCUAUGCUAAGAUUUUAAAUUUGAGAACAAUUGAGCAGUCAGUUUUCUAACUCAGUCAGCUUUGGUACACUCAUGUUGAGGUGACACUUUUGUGCCUUCAGCACUUGUGCCUUUUACACAAGUAACAAACCCCAGUGCCUGAUGCCACUGACAUCUAGUGAAUUAACACCAGUAUCCUGAUUUUUUCCAUGACAUAAGAACAGGUAUUGGUUGUUGAAGCUUGAUAAGUUAGGACACAGAAUGCGGAUUUUAUUCCAUAGGAGAUGGGAACCGCGGAAGACUGCAGCUGCACAGUAACUAAGGAGGGACUCAGUGCGUCAGGAAGGUGGCCUAGGGAUCGUUUUCAAGGAGAGCAACUAAGGAAGCCUAGGCGUAAGUGUGCUAAGGGCCGGGCUGCUGCAGCACUGAUGAGGACAGAAAAGGAGACUGGAGAAUUAGAAGGAAGAAUUCCCCAGAAGGUUAUGUCAUAUUUGCCUGCUGUUGAUUUGCCAUUUUCCCUGCUGCACAUUUGAAGGGUCCUUGCUCUCACGGAAACUUCGACCUCAGCCCGACAUGGGCUGUCUUACCUUUCUGGCAGAACCUGGUGCGUACAUCUGAACUGCACACCCUCACUGACCUCAGACUUCUCACUGCCUGUCCAUGGCUUCUGAAAUCCAUCGUGGAGCACGCAGCACCUCCCGCAGUGUCAGGUCUCGGGUCAUGCUGGCCUCCACAGGAUGGGGAGGUCCCCUCGUCCUUCCUGCUGGAGGAAGAUAGCUAUUUCAGGGAGGCAGAGUCUGUGCAGACUCCGACUUCCAGACUCAUGCCAUGGAACCAGGAAGGGAAGCCAUGCCUCUGCGUACUCAGUGUAAGCGUGGAAGAGUGGACAGAUAUCUGUUGCUACUCAUCUCUAACAUUUGGUGAGGCAUUGCUCGGGCUACUCAUCCUGAGUGGAAUUCCUUCCCCUUCUUUCCUUAGCAGUUUGGUAUCCUGAUUUUCAGAAACCAGUUCAGACUUCAUCUCUGCCAGAUACCAAUCCAGAAGACGUAAAUCCCGAACCUAUUGUCACACAUCUCUCACCUUCACGAAGACAGUUUAGUUUAAAUUAUUUUCUGUGGCAAAUUCAUCUCCUCAGAAAGCCUGGAGCAGACGCUGAGGUCCAGGUCUCCCCUCCUUUCUCCCUCGAAGCCCUUCAUAGCAAUCGUUACUGCUGCUAAUGAAAUAGCAAAUCUAAGGAGAGCUUUGGGAGCUGAGAUUAGGAUCCUGAGGCAUAUGUAGAGCUAGAAAUAGCACUUUGUGUACAUAAGUAAUGGCGUGGCUUCUCAGGCACUUUUUCCUCAGUGUUGGUCAUGCAUAAUCAGCGGUGGUGGGACAAUUAUCUCUUUCUCAGACAAAAACAUCUAAAUAUGCCUUUAAGGUAUCAAUAGUGUUUUAGUUUUUAAAAUGUGUUAUGACAAUGAUGAAUUUUUUAUCAUCAUACUAGUAAGCUAAUGAGCUAUGAAAAUUCUCCAAGCACUCUAUUUUGCCUCUUUGUUACCAGUUUAUAUAUGCUUUAGAUUAUCUGCAUUCAAAAGGCCAUCUCCUAAGGGCCAAAUCUACUGCAUGAAAGUAGCAUACCGCAGUUCAGAAAGCAGAAUUCGAAGCUCAGUGUCACAGCCUGCCUGCACCGAACAUCCACACGCAACUCUGGAAUGCCUCCAGCAGUGCAUGUUUUGUUAAAACUUGUUUAACAGAACUGGUAACAGAGGGUUUUUUGUUUGCUUCUUUGUUCAUUUUGUUUAAUUCUAGUAGUGGAAACAAUUGGUGUGUAGCCCUGACCAGCUGAUCUCAGGAUACCUAUUUGGAAAUCCCUCUGAUUGGGAAAAUAGUAAUAAUAAAAUAUGUUUUGUCUAGUUUGCCUCAUGGACUCAUGGCAUUACAGAACAACACAAACAAAAAGGCCCAGAGAAGCUCUAGUCCAAACUGUUAAUUUUAUGGAGAGGGCUGGGUGUGAGUGAUGU